GACAGAGGUGCCGAGCGUUAGGCGGAAUCACUGGGCUUAAAGCGUGUGUAGGCGGACCGUUAAGUACCUUGUGAAAUCCCACGGCUCACCCGUGGAACGGCUGGGUAUACUGGCGGUCUUGGGCCACCUAGGGGCAGAUGGAACAGACGGUGGAGCGGUGAAAUGCGUAGAUAUCGGCUGGAACGCCAAAGGUGAAAACAGGUUGCUGGGAGUGUGCUGACGCUGAGACACGAAAGCCAGGGGAGCAAACGGG
rnacentral:rRNA from 1 species